rnacentral:rRNA from 1 species
AUUGAACGCUGGCGGCAGGCCUAACACAUGCAAGUCGAGCGGAGCGGCGGACGGGGGAGUAAUGCCUAGGAAUCUGCCUGGUAGUGGGGGAUAACGUCAGGAAACGGGCGCUAAUACCGCAUCCUAUCAGAUGAGCCUAGGUCGGAUUAGCUAGUUGUUGGGGUAAAGGCCUACCAAGGCGACGAUCCGUAACUGGUCUUAGAGGAUGAUCAGUCACACUGGAACUGAGCCACGGCCCAGCAUCCUACGGUAGGCAGCAGUGGGGAAUAUUGGACAAUGGGCGAAAGCCUGAUCCAGCCAUGCCGCGUGUGUGAAGAAGGCCUUCGGAUUGUAAAGCACUUUAAGUUGGGAGGCGUUACCAACAGAAUAAGCACCGGCUAACUUCGUGCCAGCCGCCGCGGUAAUAC